CUAUGUGUUGUUGGGUAGGGGAGCGUUCUGUAAGCCUGUGAAGGUGGCCUGUGAGGGUUGCUGGAGGUAUCAGAAGUGCGAAUGCUGACAUAAGUAACGAUAAAGCGGGUGAAAAGCCCGCUCGCCGGAAGACCAAGGGUUCCUGUCCAACGUUAAUCGGGGCAGGGUGAGUCGACCCCUAAGGCGAGGCCGAAAGGCGUAGUCGAUGGGAAACAGGUUAAUAUUCCUGUACUUGGUGUUACUGCGAAGAGGGGACGGAGAAGGCUAUGUUGGCCGGGCGACGGUUGUCCCGGUUUAAGCGUGUAGGCUGAUUUUCCAGGCAAAUCCGGAAAAUCAAGGCUGAGGCGUGAUGACGAGGCACUACGGUGCUGAAGC
rnacentral:rRNA from 1 species